AAGCAUCGCUGCUAAACUAAAGCAUACAAUAAUCUAAUAUUUUGUAUUUUAUCGAUAAUUUUGAUAUAUCUUUAUAUUAUUUAAAUUUUCAUGAUUUGAUAAUUAUGGUUAAGAAAACAAUUAAUGGCAAUAAUAUAAUACAUAUGUGUAUAAGAAUAUAUGUUAUUUAAGUUUAGUGUCUUUUGGUAUUGUAUAUGGUAAAAGUGAAAUCAUAUUUACAAUUACAAUAACUGUACAUUAUUGAAAGUAAUAGGUGGCCAAAUCUGGGCCAAGAGAAAGUUUAAUAAAAAAACUUACUUAGGUAUAUAUAAUCAAAAAAGUAUAUAAAUACCAAUCACUUAUGAAAGUUACAAGUUAUACUUUAUAAGAUCAUUCUAUCUUAAUCUCCAUUUUACAAAGUACUUUACGAUGCAAAUAUUUUGUGUAAAUUACAAGAAAUACAUCCUUGUAUACUUACUUCUAAAUACAAUAUGUGUUAUUACUUGUAAUAAAUCAACAUCAACUAAUCUUUUAUCAAAGUUAGAAUAUAUGAAUAAAUUAAAAAGACCUGUAUAUACAUUUGUUAAAACUGACAAAGAGGCGAAUAUUAAGUGGGGUGUGCGCCAUUACGUUCCCAGAAUGAGUGAAAUAAAAGUUAAUUGAACAGUGUAAUUUAAGAGCGCAACAACAGGCAUUCUUAAAUGAAAAAAAAUUAUUAUGAGCUAUUUGAUGCAUUUAUAUAUUGUUGAUAUCGGGUAUAACUCUAUUAUUUCUUUCUGAUUUUAUGGAUUAAAACUAUAUAUUUCUUGAUACAUUUUA